rnacentral:rRNA from 1 species
AGAGUUUGAUCCUGGCUCAGGACGAACGCUGGCGGCGUGCCUAACACAUGCAAGUCGAGCGGAGACAGUGAGUAGCUUGCUAUGAGCUGUUUUAGCGGCGGACGGGUGAGUAACGCGUGAGCAACCUUUCCCAGACAGGGGAAUAACACACCGAAAGGUGUACUAAUACCGCAUAAGACCACGGGAUCACAUGGUUCUGGGGUAAAAGAUUUAUCGGUUUGGGGUGGGCUCGCGUCCGAUUAGGUAGUUGGUGAGGUAACGGCCCACCAAGCCGACGAUCGGUAGCCGACCUGAGAGGGUGAUCGGCCACAUUGGGACUGAGACACGGCCCAAACUCCUACGGGAGGCAGCAGUGGGGAAUAUUGCACAAUGGGGGAAACCCUGAUGCAGCGACGCCGCGUGAGCGAAGAAGUAUUUCGGUAUGUAAAGCUCUAUCAGCAGGGAAGAAAAUGACGGUACCUGACUAAGAAGCCCCGGCUAACUACGUGCCAGCAGCCGCGGUAAUACGUAGGGGGCAAGCGUUGUCCGGAAUAAUUGGGCGUAAAGGGCGCGUAGGCGGCUCGGUAAGUCUGGAGUGAAAGUCCUGCUUUUAAGGUGGGAAUUGCUUUGGAUACUGUCGGGCUUGAGUGCAGGAGAGGUUAGUGGAAUUCCCAGUGUAGCGGUGAAAUGCGUAGAGAUUGGGAGGAACACCAGUGGCGAAGGCGACUAACUGGACUGUAACUGACGCUGAGGCGCGAAAGUGUGGGGAGCAAACAGGAUUAGAUACCCUGGUAGUCCACACUGUAAACGAUGAAUGCUAGGUGUAGGGGGUAUCGACCCCUUCUGUGCCGCAGUCAACACAAUAAGCAUUCCGCCUGGGGAGUACGGCCGCAAGGUUGAAACUCAAAGGAAUUGACGGGGGCCCGCACAAGCAGCGGAGCAUGUGGUUUAAUUCGACGCAACGCGAAGAACCUUACCAGGUCUUGACAUCCACUUAAACUUACAGAGAUGUAAGGUGUGCUUGCACAAAGUGAGACAGGUGGUGCAUGGUUGUCGUCAGCUCGUGUCGUGAGAUGUUGGGUUAAGUCCCGCAACGAGCGCAACCCUUAUCUUCAGUUACUAACGCGUAGAGGUGAGGACUCUGAAGAGACUGCCGGGGACAACUCGGAGGAAGGUGGGGACGACGUCAAAUCAUCAUGCCCCUUAUGACCUGGGCUACACACGUGCUACAAUGGCCACGACAGAGAGAAGCGAAAUCGUAAGGUAGAGCGGAACUCAAAAAAGUGGUCCCAGUUCGGAUUGUGGGCUGCAACCCGCCCACAUGAAGUCGGAGUUGCUAGUAAUCGCGGAUCAGCAUGCCGCGGUGAAUACGUUCCCGGGCCUUGUACACACCGCCCGUCACACCAUGAGAGUCGGGAACACCCGAAGUCCGUAGCCUAACCGCAAGGAGGGCGCGGCCGAAGGUGGGUUCGAUAAUUGGGGUGAAGUCGUAACAAGGUAGCCGUUCGAGAACGAGCGGCUG